UCCUUCUCGCCCCUCUCCCGCUCGCCGGACCGGAUCCUCUGGCUGCCGCCGCUGAGGCGGGGAUCCCGUGUCGGCGGGCGCUCCCCGUUGCGAUCGCGUUCGCGGUCGGCGUCGUCGGCGAGCCGGGGCCGCUUCAGCCCAGGCUGCUGGGCGCGAUCGAGCGCGGGCCGGCGAGAGCUCUCCAUCUCCAUCGAUCGAAACCCUAGUUGACGCCGGCGGGAGGGGGA
rnacentral:misc_RNA from 1 species